rnacentral:lncRNA from 1 species
UAGGUCUAUAGUGUUUGUCUCCCUGUCCAUCUGGUAUCGUAGGUCUAUAGAGUUUGGCUCCCUGUCCAGCUGGUAUCGUAGGUCUAUAGUGUUUGGCUCCCUGUCCAUCUGGUAUCGUAGGUCUAUAGUGUUUGUCUCCCUGUCCAUCUGGUAUCGUAGGUCUAUAGAGUUUGGCUCCCUGUCCAGCUGGUAUCGUAGAUCUAUAGUGUUUGGCUCCCUGUCCAGCUGGUAUCGUAGGUCUAUAGUUUUUGGCUCCCUGUCCAUCUGGUAUCGUAGGUCUAUAGUUUUUGGCUCCCUGUCCAGCUGGUAUCGUAGGUCUAUAGUGUUUGGCUCCCUGUCCAGCUGGUAUCGUAGGUCUAUAGUGUUUGGCUCCCUGUCCAUCUGGUAUCGUAGGUCUAUAGUUUUUGGCUCCCUGUCCAUCUGGUAUCGUAGGUCUAUAGUUUUUGGCUCCCUGUCCAGCUGGUAUCGUAGGUCUAUAGUUUUUGGCUCCCUGUCCAGCUGGUAUCGUAGGUCUAUAGUGUUUGUCUCCCUGUCCAUCUGGUAUCGUAGGUCUAUAGAGUUUGUCUCCCUGUCCAUCUGGUAUCAUAGGUCUAUAGUGUUUGUCUCCCUGUCCAUCUGGUAUCAUAGGUCUAUAGUUUUUGUCUCCCUGUCCAUCUGGUAUCGUAGGUCUAUAGAGUUUGUCUCCCUGUCCAUCUGGUAUCGUAGGUCUAUAGUGUUUGGCUCCCUGUCCAUCUGGUAUCGUAGGUCUAUAGUGUUUGGCUCCCUGCCCAUCUGGUAUCAUAGGUCUAUAGUUUUUGGCCCUCUGUCCAGCUGGUAUCGUAGGUCUAUAGUGUUUGUCUCCCUGUCCAGCUGGUAUUGUAGGUCUAUAGAGUUUGGCUCCCUGUCCAUCUGGUAUCGUAGGUCUAUAGUGUUUGGCUCCCUGUCCAUCUGGUAUCGUAGGUCUAUAGUUUUUGGCUCCCUGUCCAUCUGGUAUCGUAGGUCUAUAGCUUUGUCUCCCUGUCCAUCUGGUAUCGUAGGUCUAUAGUGUUUGUCUCCCUGUCCAUCUGGUAUCGUAGGUCUAUAGUGUUUGUCUCCCUGUCCAUCUGGUAUCGUAGGUCUAUAGUGUUUGGCUCCCUGUCCAUCUGGUAUCGUAGGUCUAUAGUGUUUGGCUCCCUGUCCAUCUGGUAUCAUAGAUCUAUAGUUUUUGGCUCCCUGUCCAUCUGGUAAUGUAGGUCUAUAGUGUUUGUCUCCCUGUCCAGCUGGUAUUGUAGGUCUAUAGAGUUUGGCUCCCUGUCCAUCUGGUAUCGUAGGUCUAUAGUGUUUGGCUCCCUGUCCAUCUGGUAUCGUAGGUCUAUAGUUUUUGGCUCCCUGUGCUACAGGACCAAGACUUUUGCCCUCUUUCCCAACAGGCACCUGAGGUUCUAGACUUUUAGCCGCCUGUGACUCUGGGACCACAGAACCAACACCUUCGGAACCCUGUGGCUGCUGAGCUACUGGACCUUGACCUUUACCCCUCUUCCGAUCUGCCACUGCAGCAGGUCCAUAGCGUUUGGCUCCCUGUGGUUCUGGUGCCGCAGGACCAAGACUUUUGGCCUCUUUCCUAAUGGGUAUCUGAGGUCCUAAGCUUUUAGCCUCCGGUGUAUGGGAUGCCACAGGACCAGAACUUUUGACCCCUUUGCCAUUUGGAGCUGCCGGUCCAAAACCUUUGGCCCCCUGUGGCUGCUGAGCUACAGGACCAGAACUCUUAGCUUCCUUUCCCAGUGGAGCUGCAGGCCCAUAGCUUUCGACUCCCUGUGCUUGAAGAACAACAGAACAAGGGCUUUUGGGCCCUUCACAUCUGGCAAUGCAGCAGGUCCUUGGCUAUCAUGAUUGUGGCAUAAUGUGUCUACAUGCAACAUGCACCUUUAUAGAAACUGGGACAAAGACACACAUAGACAGACAAACACACAGGGUAGCAGAUGUUUACCAUUGGGUUUAGCACCCUGUCCAUUGGGCACUCCAGCUCCUGCACCAUAUCCUGAAGACCACAAUAGUGAUUACUCAACACUGGCGACUAUAGGACGGACUCAUGCAGAUACGAUGCUCUGAUCCACAAACAUAACCAUACACGGACACACCCACUUACAUACUUCACCACUUACACAAUUCCAAUCACACCACAACAAAAUAUAUAUGGCUGCCCAUUUGAAAGAAUUUGGCAGCCGAACAAUAAAGACAACCAUUGAUGGUAAGUAGAUAGACACCUGUUAAUGCACUGAGCAAACAACAUGCAUUUACACCAUGUCUGACUGAAUCAACAAAAGGCAUAAAUACUGAUUACACAGAAGAGAUUGAAAACGGCAACACGAAGAGCAGACAUGAAGGCACAAACUGAAAAACGCAGGUAAAAACAAACCAACAUGAAUGCGGACACGGACGGACACGGACGGACACAGCAGGAUUGGAAAGUUUACCCGGUUUUGGUCCCUUAGAUCCCUGUCCAUUGGGAUACCCAGCUCCAGCACCUAAUGUUUGCAAAGGGGCACUGUCAACUGGAAUUAUCAAACUCCACAUGCAGGGUAUGAGGUACAGAGGCUUUGCAGCAAUCAACCACAUUGCUUGUACAGAUGUAGGAUCUUAAUUUCAGCCAGUUUGCUACAGCAGGAAAAUAAUCCUGCUGCGACAGAAAAUGUGAAUUAUUAUGUGAUUAGAAUUCAUCUUUAAGAGUAAAUUGACGCACCUGUGCAUCAAUCUAAGUAACAUUAUUAAAAAAUCCCCAACAAAACCAGUCAGUUUAAUGGACAUUUAUGUAGGGGUUGAUAUAUUUUUCAUUAGGGCAAAUUAAGUCUGAAAUUUCAAAGUGGAAAAUCUUUUAAAACUCAAAUUUUGCAAAUGAAGAUCCUACAUCUGUAAAGCCAGUUUACAGAUGCUUGGUGUCUAUGUAGGACCCGGCUGGCUAAUGUACACUGUACAGUGUACAGUAUGCAGAUGACAAUUUGGAAGAUGCGUGAUAUGGAAAUCCCCACUGAUUUAUUGAUUGGGAUUGACAGUUUGUUCAAUGAAUUAAGUGCUUGAGGUGUGAGCUGUAAAAAAUAUGAACCCUGGCUUGUAAAAUAGUAGACUAUAGUAUUGGCCUUUAGAUGGUUCAGGCCAGCAGGGAUUGGCUGCUUACCUGGUCGUGGAUAGCCUCUGGCUCCAGUUCCAGGCCCGUAACCU